rnacentral:rRNA from 1 species
UACGUAGGGCGCAAGCGUUUGUCCGGAAUUAUUGGGCGUAAAGAGCUCGUAGGUGGCUUGUCACGUCGGGUGUGAAAGCUUGGGGCUUAACUCCAGGUCUGCAUUCGAUACGGGCUGGCUAGAGGUAGGUAGGGGAGAACGGAAUUCCUGGUGUAGCGGUGAAAUGCGCAGAUAUCAGGAGGAACACCGGUGGCGAAGGCGGGUCUCUGGGCCGAUACUGACGCUGAGGAGCGAAAGCGUGGGGAGCGAACAGG